rnacentral:tRNA from 1 species
ACCUGGGUGGCUCAGUCGGUUGAGCGUCCGACUUCAGCUCAGGCCAUGAUCUCACAGCUCGUGGGUUCAAGCCCCGCAUCGGGCA